rnacentral:tRNA from 1 species
AUUUAAAUAGUUUAAUUAAAAAUUUUGAUUUGUGGUAUCAAAGAUGUAGGAAAUACUUUAGAUU